rnacentral:rRNA from 1 species
AGGCCUCAAGUGAUGUGUGACAACCCCCUGAUUU